CUAAAUACUACCCAGUGACCGAUAGCGUAUAGUACUGUGAAGGAAAGGUGAAAAGGACCCCGGGAGGGGAGUGAAAGAGAACCUGAAACCCUGUGUUUACAAGCUGUCGGAGCACGAUAAGUGCGACGGCGUACUUUUUGUAGAACGGUCCGGCGAGUUAUGAUACGCGGUAAGGUUAAGGACUUAAGGUCCGGAGCCGAAGCGAAAGCGAGUGUUAAGAGCACGAGGAAUCACGUAUCAUAGACCCGAAACCGGGUGAUCUAUCCAUGUCCAGGAUGAAGCUGCCGUAAGAGGUAGUGGAGGUCCGAACACACAUCCGUUGAAAAGGGUGGUGAUGAGGUGUGGAUAGGGGAGAAAUUCCAAUCGAACCCGGAGAUAGCUGGUUCUCCUCGAAAUAGCUUUAGGGCUAGCCUCGAUGGAGUCUUACGGAGGUAGAGCACUGAAUUUCUAAGGGGGCGUCAAAGCUUACCAAGGGAUAUCAAACUCCGAAUGCCGUAAAGAUGCUCAUCGGGAGUCAGACUGCACGAGAUAAGUUGGGCAGUCAAAAGGGAAAGAGCCCAGACCUGCUGCUAAGGUCCCAAAGUACGUGUUAAGUGGAAAAGGAUGUGGGAUUUCGAAGACAACUAGGAUGUUGGCUCAGAAGCAGCCACACAUUCAAAGAGUGCGUAAUAGCUCACUAGUCGAGAGGUCCUGCGCCGAAAAUGUCCGGGGCUGAAACACGACACCGAAGCUUAGGAACAGAAAUGUUGGUAGAGGAGCAUUGUUAGCGGAACGAAGCCAUACCGGAAGGAGUGGUGGACUGCUAAGAAGAGAGAAUGCCGGAAUGAGUAGCGAGAUUGAAGUGAGAAUCUUCAAGGCCGAAUAUCUAAGGUUUCCAGGGUAAAGCUGAUCUGCCCUGGGUAAGUCGGGGCCUAAGGCGAGGUCGAAAGACGUAGCCGAUGGACAACAGGUUGAAAUUCCUGUACUGCGAUAUAUCAGAAAUGUGGGGACACAGAAGGAAAGUGUGAGCCGGGAAAGGAAAGACCGGUGCAAGCACAGGAGGAGAGAUACAGGCAAAUCCGUAUUUCAAUCCAAUGGUGUUACGCGGAGCGAACAAAAGUAGCGAAGCACACAGACCAUCUGUCGAGAAAAGCCGCUAUUGUGUAUACCGUACCCGUACCGUAAACCGACACAGGUGGAUGAGGAGAGAAUCCUAAGGCCGGCGGAAGAAGCAUUGUUAAGGAACUCGGCAAAAUGACCCCGUAACUUCGGGAGAAGGGGUGCCAACGAGAGUUGGCCGCAGAGAAUAGGCUCAAGCAACUGUUUAGCAAAAACACAGGUCUAUGCAAAACCGAAAGGUGAGGUAUAUGGGCUGACGCCUGCCCGGUGCUGGAAGGUUAAGAGGAGAGGUUAGCGCAAGCGAAGCUUUGAAUUUAAGCCCCAGUAAACGGCGGCCGUAACUAUAACGGUCCUAAGGUAGCGAAAUUCCUUGUCGGGUAAGUUCCGACCCGCACGAAAGGCGUAAUGAUUUGGGCACUGUCUCGACAAUGCACCCGGUGAAAUUGAAAUACCAGUGAAGAUGCUGGUUACCUGCGCCAGGACGGAAAGACCCCAUGGAGCUUUACUCUAGCUUGAUACUGGGAUUCGGUAUUGCAUGUACAGGAUAGGUGGGAGACUAAGAGGUGAUGACGCCAGUUGUCACGGAGUCGAUGUUGGGAUACCACCCCUGCAGUACUGGGUUUCUAACCUGCGGCCGUGACCCGGCCGGGGGACAAUGUCUGGUGGGGAGUUUGACUGGGGCGGUCGCCUCCGAAAGGGUAUCGGAGGCGCUCAAAGGUUCCCUCAGAAUGGUCGGAAACCAUUCGAAGAGUGCAAAGGCAGAAGGGAGCUUGACUGCGACACCGACGGGUGGAGCAGGUACGAAAGUAGGACUUAGUGAUCCGGUGGUAUGAAAGUGGGAUUGCCAUCGCUCAACGGAUAAAAGCUACCCUGGGGAUAACAGGCUUAUCACUCCCAAGAGUUCACAUCGACGGAGUGGUUUGGCACCUCGAUGUCGGCUCAUCGCAUCCUGGGGCUGUAGUAGGUCCCAAGGGUUGGGCUGUUCGCCCAUUAAAGCGGUACGCGAGCUGGGUUCAGAACGUCGUGAGACAGUUCGGUCCCUAUCCUCCGUGGGCGCAGGAGAAUCGAUGGAGGCUGCCCCCAGUACGAGAGGACCGGGGUGGACGCACCUCCGGUGAACCGGUUGUCGACCAACGGCACGGCCGGGUAGCCGCGUGCGGCGCGGAUAACCGCUGAAGGCAUCUAAGCGGGAAGCCGUUCCAGGGAUUAGUUCUCCUUCCGGUAAGGGCCCAGGUAGACUACCUGGUCGAUAGACGGCAGGUGCAAGGGCGGCGACGUCCUCAGCCGAGCCGCACUAAUCGCCCGAGCUCUUCCGGAA
rnacentral:rRNA from 1 species